GAUGGUAUAGCUCAACUGGUAGAGCAGCGGUCUUUUAAAUCGAAGGUUGUGGGUUCGAGUCCCACUGCCGUCA
rnacentral:tRNA from 1 species